GACGAACGCUGGCGGCGUGCUUAACACAUGCAAGUCGAACGGAAAGGCCCCAGCUUGCUGGGGUACUCGAGUGGCGAACGGGUGAGUAACACGUGGGUGAUCUGCCUUGCACUCUGGGAUAAGCUUGGGAAACUGGGUCUAAUACCGGAUAUGAACUGCCUUUAGUGUGGUGGUUGGAAAGUUUUUUCGGUGCAAGAUGAGCUCGCGGCCUAUCAGCUUGUUGGUGGGGUAAUGGCCUACCAAGGCGUCGACGGGUAGCCGGCCUGAGAGGGUGUACGGCCACAUUGGGACUGAGAUACGGCCCAGACUCCUACGGGAGGCAGCAGUGGGGAAUAUUGCACAAUGGGCGGAAGCCUGAUGCAGCGACGCCGCGUGGGGGAUGACGGCCUUCGGGUUGUAAACUCCUUUCGACAGGGACGAAGCUUUUUGUGACGGUACCUGUAUAAGAAGCACCGGCUAACUACGUG
rnacentral:rRNA from 1 species